rnacentral:lncRNA from 1 species
AAACAUAUCUUUUAACUUCUUUAUAAAUCCUUCUAAUAUAAACUAUAUAAUACUCUAAAAAAACUUACAAAGAGUGUUACACUUGCCUUAGUUCCCUUGUUUAGGGUGAUCCCAUCACAAAGUUGUUUAUAAAGCUUAGCAUAGGUAGGCCGUUUAUAAAGCUUAGCAUAGGUAGGCCAAUGCACCACGAUAGUUAGAGUUCUUGGCAAAAUAUAAGUCAGUCAAUGACCAUAACUCUCUUGUACUUGCGAGUUCUCUCUUGCUUUUGUCUCUAUGCAAACCAUACUUGAGGAGGUUAAUUUGGAUUAUUAAGAGAUCGGAGAUGUGGAUGAAGAUGAGAGUGGUGUGAGGAACACAAACACACAUAUAUAUA